rnacentral:rRNA from 1 species
UACGGAAGGCAGCAGUGGGGAAUAUUGCACAAUGGGCGCAAGCCUGAUGCAGCCAUGCCGCGUGUAUGAAGAAGGCCUUCGGGUUGUAAAGUACUUUUCAGCGGGGAGGAAGGCGGUGAAGUUAAUAGCUUCACCGAUUGACGUUACCCGCAGAAGAAGCACCGGCUAACUCCGUGCCAGCAGCCGCGGUAAUACGGAGGGUGCAAGCGUUAAUCGGAAUUACUGGGCGUAAAGCGCACGCAGGCGGUCUGUCAAGUCGGAUGUGAAAUCCCCGGGCUUAACCUGGGAACUGCAUUCGAAACUGGCAGGCUAGAGUCUGUAGAGGGGGUGAAUUCCAGGUGUAGCGGUGAAAUGCGUAGAGAUCUGGAGGAAUACCGGUGGCGAAGGCGGCCCCUGGGACAAGACUGACGCUCAGGUGCGAAAGCGUGGGGAGCAAACGAGGAUUAGGAUACC